rnacentral:rRNA from 1 species
GCGAACGCUGGCGGCAGGCUUAACACCUGCAAGUCGAGCGGGCAUCCUUGUGGUGUCAGCGGCAGACGGGUGAGUAACGCGUGGGAACGUGCCCUUCGGUUCGGAAUAACUCAGGGAAACUUGAGCUAAUACCGGAUACGUGCGAGAGCAGAAAGGUUUAUCUGCCGAAGGAUCGGCCCGCGUCUGAUUAGCUAGUUGGUGAGGUUAUGGCUCACCAAGGCGACGAUCAGUAGCUGGUCUGAGAGGAUGAUCAGCCACACUGGGACUGAGACACGGCCCAGACUCCUACGGGAGGCAGCAGUGGGGAAUAUUGGACAAUGGGGGCAACCCUGAUCCAGCCAUGCCGCGUGAGUGAUGACGGCCUUAGGGUUGUAAAGCUCUUUUCUCCGGGACGAUAAUGACGGUACCGGAGGAAUAAGCCCCGGCUAACUUCGUG